GAAGAAAUGGAGCUGUGAGAGCGCCGGCGCUUUGAACUGCUGCGUCUAAUUGCUUUGCGUACUUGAUUUUGAGGUGGAAAUGUUAUUUUUUAUGUACAAAAAUAAAAAGAAAGGAAGAAAUACAUCACAAUAUAAAGCUGUCCCCAUGCUCUUCUGGUGUGAACCUCACCUUUAUUACAUGUGAGGUGUAUGUGGCAGUGCAGGAAGUGUGUUGCAAAGGAAAGAGUUGUAGGAUGACACUAUACAUAUCAGAAGAACCUGUGUCAUCAAGUUUCUGUGGACCUACUUGAAAUGAAGACCCUGAAAAAGUAGUCAAGGCAUAUUUGGAUUCAGACAUGGAGUCACAAAGUUCCAGGGAGCAAACUGUGAUGGGAGUGUAUGACAUACUGAAGGAGGGAGCGCUGCCUGACGAUGACCCACAUGACACUGGUGUCCGUAUUGAAGGUGUGGAAGUCCUGAGUGACUUGUUAUUUGGACUGAUACACUGUUUGAACCUGAGCAACCCACCAGAGCUCACAUGUACUUUUGAAUUCUUGCAGAAGAUCUUUCUAAAUGGACAGAGGUUGUCAUCCAAGGUACAGUUUCUCAAAAACAAGCUUUUGGAGUGAGCUUGAAAAAGACAAACAAAAAUCAAACAAAAUGCACUUUUAAGUAGUAGUUUGUUUUUGUUUGUUUUAAAUGGACUGAGACUAACAGUGUUUUGUAGUAACUGACUGAAGCAGCUGUUACACACUUUUUUUUUUUUUUUUUUUUUUUUUUUUUUUUUUUCUCUGAGUGGAGCAGUCACUGAUGCACAGUAUUGUUUAUUUUCAGAUGUGAAGCAACAUAGCUACAUGGGUCAUUUAGAAUCAUCAAAAUAUUACACGUGAUAUCAAUGUUUGUUUUAUGUUAUAAAUUCAUGUGCAUUCUUGUUUGUUUUCAAAUGUUAUUUUUUUGUGUCAGGCCAAGGUUUACCUUACAAAUUCCCAAAAGGGUAGUGUUAAAAUGGCUUAAUUUUUAGAAGUUUUAAGACCAAUAGGGCAUUAACAUCCUACAAGCUUGGGGAUCAGUUUUAUCAAGAGCCAAUAUUUUGUUGGUUAAAUGUUUCUUAUACACUGUGUUACAGACACUCAAAUGGAUAGGGGACUUAAAUUGAAGAAAGCAGUUUAAACUUAAUCAGUGCAUGUUAAA